UAAUACGUAGGGGGCGAGCGUUGUCCGAAGUUACUGGGCGUAAAGCGCGCGUAGGCGGGCUAUUAAGUGAGAAGUGAAAGGCUGGGGCUCAACCCCAUGCAGUGCUUCUCAUACUGUUAGUCUUGAGGGCGGUAGAGAGAAGUGGAAUGGCUGGUGUAGCGGUGAAAUGCGUAGAUAUCAGUCGGAACACCCGUGGCGAAGGCGGCUUCUUGGGCCGUUUCUGACGCUGAGGCGCGAAAGCUGGGGGAGCGAACGGGAUUAGAUACCCCGGUAGUCCCAGCCGUAAACGAUGGAUACUAGGUGUCGGGGGUAUCGACCCCUCCGGUGCCGCAGCUAACGCAAUAAGUAUCCCGCCUGGGGAGUACGGCCGCAAGGUUG
rnacentral:rRNA from 1 species